ensembl:miRNA
GGAGGAGGGGCCUGAGCUUCCUCUUUGCCCUCAUGAGCUCUGAGCCUGGCAGUGGGGGAUGGUCCAAACAAGUCCGUGCAUGAGUGAAUGAGUCCCCACACGGAGGCUGUGCAGCAUGAUGGUUAGACGUGCAGGUUCUGGCCUC